ACGCUCGACACCUACGUGAGGCAGCAGUGGGGAAUAUUGGUCAAUGGGCGCUAGCCUGAACCAGCCAAGUAGCGUGAAGGAUGAAGGCUCUAUGGGUCGUAAACUUCUUUUAUAUAAGAAUAAAGUGCAGUAUGUAUACUGUUUUGUAUGUAUUAUAUGAAUAAGGAUCGGCUAACUCCGUGCCAACAGCCGCGGUAAUCUGAGCGGGCUGGCAAGGC
rnacentral:rRNA from 1 species